CAGUAGCCCGGGAAUACGGAGGGUGCAAGCGUUAAUCGGAAUUACUGGGCGUAAAGCGCACGCAGGCGGUCUGUCAAGUCGGAUGUGAAAUCCCCGGGCUCAACCUGGGAACUGCAUUCGAAACUGGCAGGCUAGAGUCUUGUAGAGGGGGGUAGAAUUCCAGGUGUAGCGGUGAAAUGCGUAGAGAUCUGGAGGAAUACCGGUGGCGAAGGCGGCCCCCUGGACAAAGACUGACGCUCAGGUGCGAAAGCGUGGGGAGCAAACAGGAUUAGAGACCCCGGUAGUCCCUGUCUCUUAUACA
rnacentral:rRNA from 1 species